AUUGAACGCUGGCGGUAGGCUUAACACAUGCAAGUCGAGCGAGCGGCGGACGGGUGAGUAAUGUCUGGGGAUCUGCCUGAUGGCGGGGGAUAACUACUGGAAACGGUAGCUAAUACCGCAUACCAUCAGAUGAACCCAUAUGGGAUUAGCUUGUAGGUGAGGUAAGGGCGCACCUAGGCGACGAUCCCUAGCUGGUCUGAGAGGAUGAUCGGCCACACUGGGAGUGAGAGACGGCCCAGAAUCCUACGGGACGAAGCAGUGGGGAAUAUUGCAGAAUGGGCGCAAGCCUGAUGCAGCCAUGCCGCGUGUAUGAAGAAGGCCUUAGGGUUGGAAAGUACUUUCAGCGGGGAGGCGUUACCCGCAGAAGAAGCACCGGCUCACUCCGUGCCAGCCGCCGCGGUAAUAC
rnacentral:rRNA from 1 species